rnacentral:piRNA from 1 species
UAGGUGACAGAGGCAACUCAGAACAAUCUUU